GAUGAACGCUGGCGGCGUGCCUAAUACAUGCAAGUCGAGCGAACAGACGAGGAGCUUGCUCCUCUGACGUUAUCGGCGGACGGGUGAGUAACACGUGGAUAACCUACCUAUAAGACUGGGAUAACUUCGGGAAACCGGAGCUACUACCGGAUAAUAUAUUGAACCGCAUGGUUCAAUAGUUAAAGACGGUUUUGCUUUCACUUAUAGAUGGAUCCGCGCCGCAUUAGCUAGUUGGUAAGGUAACGGCUUACCAAGGCAGCGAUGCGUAGCCGACCUCAGAGGGUGGACGCCCACACUGGAAGUGAGACAGGGUCCCGACACCUGCAGUGGGACGCAGUACAGAAUCCUACGCAAUGCGGGAGAGCGUGACGGAGCAACAUCGCGUGAGUGCUGAACGACUUAUGAUCGGAAAACUCUGUUAUUAGGGAAGAACAAAUGUGUAAGUACCUAUGCACGUAUUGACGGUACCGGGUGAGAAAGCUACGGCUAACUCCGUG
rnacentral:rRNA from 1 species